rnacentral:rRNA from 1 species
GUAGGGUGCAAGCGUUAUCCGGAUUUAUUGGGCGUAAAGGGUUUCGUAGGUGGUUUGAUAAGUAGUGGGUUAAAUCUCCAGGCUCAACCUGGAACCGGCUCAUUAAACUAUCAGACUAGAGAUCAUUCGGGGAUACUGGAAUUCCGCAUGUAGGGGUGAAAUCCAUUGAGAUGCGGAAGAACACCGAGGGCGAAGGCAGGUAUCUAGGAUGUUUCUGACACUAAGGAACGAAAGCUAGGGGAGCAAAAGGGAUUAGAGACCCCUGUAGUCCUAGCCGUAAAUGAUGUUCGCUAGAUUUUGGAUUCGACCCUCGUGUCGAAAUCAGAGUCGCAAGCUAACGCGUUAAGCGAACCGCCUGGGAAUACGGCCGCAAGGCUA